rnacentral:misc_RNA from 1 species
GCCCUUAAUGAACGUGAGCAGCAGGUAUCUUUUUAAGCUUGUUAUAUAUACAUUACAGAAGAUAGCAGUGGUCAUUUAUUUAUGUCUUGUAAAUGUUUUAGUAUGCCUCUAGCCUUCUUAAAUUGUAUUGUCUCUGAAAUGGUUAUUGUUAUGUUUUUGUUGAGUGUAGUUUAUGGUGGGUGUCUUGUUAUUAUUUUCCAUUUAUUAUGCUAUUUGU